UACGUAGGGGGCAAGCGUUGUCCGGAAUUAUUGGGCGUAAAGAGCGUGUAGGCGGUCCGGUAAGUCAGCUGUGAAAGUCAAGGGCUCAACCCUUGAAUGCCGGUUGAUACUGUCGGGCUAGAGUCCGGAAGAGGCGAGUGGAAUUCCAGGUGUAGCGGUGAAAUGCGUAGAUAUCUGGAGGAACACCGGUGGCGAAGGCGGCAUCCUGGACCAAUUCUGACGCUGAGGAGCGAAAGCCAGGGGAGCAAACGGG
rnacentral:rRNA from 1 species